GCAUGUGUGAAAGAAAAGAAGGAGGUC
rnacentral:piRNA from 1 species